UACGUAGGGGGCAAGCGUUGUCCGGAAUCAUUGGGCGUAAAGCGCGUGUAGGCGGCUCGGUAAGUCUGCUGUGAAAGUCCAGGGCUCAACCCUGGAAUGCCGGUGGAAACUGUCGAGCUUGAGUCCGGAAGAGGCGAGUGGAAUUCCUGGUGUAGCGGUGAAAUGCGCAGAUAUCAGGAGGAACACCAAUGGCGAAGGCAGCUCGCUGGGACGGUACUGACGCUGAGACGCGAAAGCGUGGGGAGCAAACAGG
rnacentral:rRNA from 1 species